ACUUUCAACAACGGAUCUCUUGGCUCUUGCAUCGAUGAAGAACGCAGCGAAAUGCGAUAAGUAAUGUGAAUUGCAGAAUUCCGUGAAUCAUCAAAUCUUUGAACGCAAAUUGCACUCCUUGGUAUUCCGAGGAGUAUGCUUGGUUGAGGGUUGUUUCAAUAAAUUCGUUUU
rnacentral:rRNA from 1 species